ACGCUCGACACCUACGGGAGGCAGCAGUGGAGAUNUGCAAUGGGAACCGCAAGUCUGAACCAGCCACUGCCGGCGGUGACAGGAUGUACGGACUCUAUGAGUUAGUAAACUGCUUUUGUAACGAGGGUAAACGCAGAUACGUGUAUCUGUCUAGAAAGUAUCGUACGAAUAAGGAUCGGCUAACUCCGUGCCAACAGCCGCGGUAAUCUGAGCGGGCUGGCAAGGC
rnacentral:rRNA from 1 species